GUACACACCGCCCGUCACACCAUGGGAGUCGGAAAUGCCCGAAGCCAGUGACCCAACCAUAAGGAGGGAGCUGUCGAAGGUGGAGCCGGUGACUGGGGUGAAGUCGUAACAAGGUAGC
rnacentral:rRNA from 1 species